GGCGCCGUGACCACCACCUCAUCACCAUCGACCUGCACACAUACACGAAUGACGAACGCUUCACCGUCUCCCACGCGCCGCCGUUCAAGAGCCUGGUGGGGGAAGAGGGGAAGAUAUACAAUACGUCGCUUCCCGUGCACACAUACGCACACAGGAGUGGACGCUGAGAAUCAAAUACGCACAGGCAAGAGACUCUGGAGCUUAUGAGUGCCAACUGUCCACUCACCCGCCCAUUGGCAUCAUCGCUAACCUCAGAGUCGUGCAGCCCGUCUCGGAGAUCACCGGCGGACCCGACCUCUAUGCUCAAGAGGGCAGCGACGUGACCCUCCUCUGCCGGCUCCGAAACUACACUGACCCGCCCAGCUACGUCUUCUGGUACCAUAGAGACCAGAUGAUUAAUUAUAAUAGCAACAGGAA